AAUACUUUUGGGUGGGAUGGGGUGAGGGGGUUAAUAAGCAUACGGUGGAAAUGGGAAAUCGAGUCGUGCGAGGAUACUUGCUCUGGCCGUAGCAAAUAAAUGUCGCUUCCAGGGUUCACAAACUCUGCAGCUCGGGAGAGCUCCAUGGAGUUAGGGAGCAGCAAAGACUUCGAGUCCUGUAAUCUCGGCAACCCAAUUAGGAUGUACACGCAGGCUCGACUGGGUGAGCCUCGAUGUGCAGUGGAAAGCUUGAAUGGCCUCAAAUUGCAUGUCCAGGUGGUGCCCUAAGUCGAAACCAGCAGGCAAAAGCAGCUCAAGCUAUGUAAUCGGCAUGCAACCUGAUCCAACCUAUUUAAUCUAGGUAUCUAAGUGUAUUAGACUCUCGGCCUAAUAAUAUUGAGCCUGUUAACCAAAUUACCUAUUUAAAAAA